GGGGGAAAAAAAUCUUUCGAUCUUGGAAUAUUCAAUUUUUUUGCUCUAAAAAAAAAGUCAACUUUAGCCAAACUGGUGAAUCAAUUUUCGAUUUGUUAACUUAAGAUUUCAAUGACGGAUGCUAAUAACAAAUGUGGAAUGAUCUUUUAGGAACCUAUGCUGUUUUGGUCAGGACAAAGAUGUUGUUUUGGCUAGGGAAUGACUUUACUGAUUUAGGAGUACAGAAGAUAUGUAAUCUAAUAUUGUACCCUUGAUUAUGGGAUGUGUGUGAAAAUAGAACAGUAUCCAUUAGAAGGAUCUUAACAGCUAUGUUAUUGUUACUGAAGUAUUUUGUUCUUUCAUUGAGCAAGAAAGAAAACUUCCCAGGUGGGGAAAAUUAUGAGAAUAAAACUGACUAGAUUCUUACAAGUGCAAUGAGGAUAGCAAAUGCCUCCACUAUUCAGCCUUGAGAUUUUCGUUUGCAAACCUGAAUCUCUGUUAGUAAUGACUAUCUUCUUUGCUAGGAAAGAUUUCACAUCUUCAAAAUUUAUUAUCCUCUUUUCCCUCCCUAGGGUGUGUGUCUGUGUGCAUGUGCUUGCGUGCCCAACUGUCCAUGUGCCCUGUACAUUAUAUGCCAGCAUGUCUGCACUAGAGAUGCAUUAUGAGACAUAUUGGCUCUAACUGUCACUGAUUAAUAUUGAUAUUCCUGCAGAAGGAAAUAUUUUUCCCCGCCAAAGUAAAUGCCUAUACCACAAUUGCUAGAGUCAAGAAAAAUCAAUGUAUCCAUGAGAAAAGCCCAUAAUUGAGCUCAGAACAAUACUUGUUUCUGAGUGCAUGAUGAAUGGCCUUUUGAAAGACUUCAGCCUUUACCAAUUAAGAGUUUUGUUUAUGUGAUUACGUGUGUAUAAGAACUUUAAAUAAUAUGGCAUCAUAUUCAUUUCCCUGUUUGGGUUUGGAAUGUAGAAUACCCAAAAGUGGGGAUGAGGUCAGUUUGAUAGAAUUAUUACUUUGACUUUGUGUUGUCUGCUUGGGAAUAGAGAAGAAAUAAGCUGAUUUUAUGAAUUUGGUAGUUUGACAAGCUGAGGUGGUGCAAAGGCUUUAUCUUUUUUCUCUGAUUCUGUCAUGCUUUGCUAUUUGUGUUCCAUUUAAGGAAUUUACUUCCUGAGUUGGAAUAAAAGUGAAUGUAGAUCAUUCAGUCGUGUGUGAAAUGUUGCUAUUGUGAGAUUUGCCCUGGUGGGUACUUUUGUUACUUUCCAGUAAUUCAUUAUUCUUCUUCUCUAAUGAAAUUUUCCUUUUAUUAUGUAUGCUAGAUGUAGUAAGAGUAACGGAUAACC
rnacentral:misc_RNA from 1 species